UCCUCCCGCCCUCACCAUCGACCAGCCCGUAUUUCAGGAGAAUGAAAUCCACUUUGGCUCGAGGUGGGGUCCACUCCACAAAGGCCACAGUGUCGGAGACAUCUCGUACUAAGAUCUGUGUGGGUCCAUCAAUGACUAGCCCUGUCUGGUUGAAGGAUGUGACAUCACUGGGUAGCUGGGCAAUCACUCCUCCUUCAUUGUUCUGGAAGAUGCAAAGAAGAAAUAAAAGAGAAAAAAGAACACAUCACUAGGAGAGAAGUGUUGGAUCUGCCUUGUCAACAUGAUGACCAACUGAGCUCUCUCUGGAUAUGAAUUCUCUGCUAGAAAACUUCCUAUUCCAUUCCAACUAAAGAGUGACAGUCAUUUUUGGAAACUA